rnacentral:rRNA from 1 species
CACGUAGGGCGCAAGCGUUGUCCGGAAUUAUUGGGCGUAAAGAGCUCGUAGGCGGUCUGUCGCGUCGGCUGUGAAAACCCGGGGCUCAACCCCGGGCCUGCAGUCGAUACGGGCAGACUAGAGUGUGGUAGGGGAGACUGGAAUUCCUGGUGUAGCGGUGGAAUGCGCAGAUAUCAGGAGGAACACCGGUGGCGAAGGCGGGUCUCUGGGCCGUUACUGACGCUGAGGAGCGAAAGCGUGGGGAGCGAACAGG